AGAAACACUUAUUUUAAAUUCACACAAACGGCCACAAUAAUUUACAAAAAUAUUGUAUUUGAUAUUUUAGAUGAAACGAAUGAUCAUCUAAAAAUUUCACCGAUCAAGUGGAUUAUCCGUAUGUAUUAUACACACCAUACAUACACAGCAACAUGUUCUCAAGAACUCCAAAUGGAGGGAAAAGCAUUAUAAAUAACAUUCAUGUUUGUUUAAUUCAAUUUAUCGCACGACUUUUGUUGACGAGAAGGAAGAUAGCUAAGAUAACAGGAGCGGAAAUCAUGGAAAGAGCAAGAAGAAUGUUGGGUGUUGUGAUUUGUGGGAAUAAAGCGCUUCCGUAUUUGAUAACAGCAGCUCCCAAUACUGAUCCACCUACAAGCUUCAGCACACAGGAACCUGGGAGUUGAAGGGAGCUGGGUCAGGGGACGAGGCUUGAGACUCAUCUUUUCGAGAAGCUUGAAUCAUUAGGGACUUGCCCGACGAUGUGGUCGGAAAUACAUAGGAGAAUCUAGCGGUGGAGAUUCUGUCUGACUGGCGGCAACUGAAGGGUGAGCUUCGUGUCUGACCAACAAGGAUUUGGGUAGCUGUGGUUGCCAUAUCCUUUGGACGCAAAAGCAAUAUUCACCUCAGCUCCUAUUUCAUUCUUCAAACUUCAUUCAUCUGCAAUACUUUGAUAUUGCUGGUUUCAGUAUAGUUUAUGGAACGGCCCAAGAUAAGGCCCAUUUGUAUCAAUCACCCAACACCCAAACUCUGGUUUAAUUUAUAACUUCAGUUUCUUUUAA